rnacentral:rRNA from 1 species
UACGGGGGGAGCAAGCGUUGUUCGGAUUUACUGGGCGUAAAGGGCGCGUAGGCGGCCACGACAAGUCACUUGUGAAAUCUCCGGGCUUAACUCGGAACGGUCAAGUGAUACUGUCGGGCUAGAGUGCGGAAGGGGCAAUCAGAAUUCUUGGUGUAGCGGUGAAAUGCGUAGAUAUCGAGAGGAACACCUGCGGCGAAGGCGGGUUGCUGGGCCGACACUGACGCUGAGGCGCGAAAGCUAGGGGAGCGAACGGG